rnacentral:rRNA from 1 species
AUUGAACGCUGGCGGCAGGCCUAACACAUGCAAGUCGAGCGGAUGAAGGGUGCUUGCUCCUGGUUUCAGCGGCGGACGGGCGAGUAAUGCCUAGGAAUCUGCCUGGUAGUGGGGUAUAACGUCCGGAAACGGGGGCUAUUACCCCAUACGUCCUGAGGGCGUAAGUGGGGGAUCUUCGGACCUCACGCUAUCAGAUGAGCCUAGGUCGGAUUAGCUAGUUGGUGGGGUAAAGGCCUACCAAGGCGACGAUCCGUAACUGGUCUGAGAGGAUGAUCAGUCACACUGGAACUGAGACACGGUCCAGACUCCUACGGGAGGCAGCAGUGGGGAAUAUUGGACAAUGGGCGAAAGCCUGAUCCAGCCAUGCCGCGUGUGUGAAGAAGGUCUUCGGAUUGUAAAGCACUUUAAGUUGGGAAGAAGAGCAGUAGGUUAAUACCUUGCUGUUUUGACGUUACCAACAGAAUAAGCACCGGCUAACUUCGUG